rnacentral:rRNA from 1 species
CAUACCUAUUCGAAGGGAUAGGGUCGGUUUGGCCGGGUUUCACACAGGUGUUGCAUGGCUGUCGUCAGCUCGUGUCGUGAGAUGUUGGGUUAAGUCCCGCAACGGGCGCAACCCUCAUCCUUAGUUACCAUCAGGUUAUGCUGGGGACUUUAAGGAAACUGCCAGUGAUAAACUGGAGGAAGGUGGGGAUGAUGUCGAGUCAUCAUGGCCCUUAUGGAGUGGGCUACACACGUGCUACAAUGGUGAUUACAAUGGGCUGCAAGGUCGCAAGACUGAGCUAAUCCUAAAAAAUCAUCUCAGUUCGGAUUGUUCUCUGCAACUCGAGGGCAUGAAGUUGGAAUCGCUAGUAAUCGUGGAUCAGCAUGCCACGGUGAAUACGUUCUCGGGUCUUGUACACACUGCCCGUCACGCCAUGGGAAUUGGUUUCACUCGAAGCU